UGAAAGUCUGUUAGUAUCUCACCCCCCACACACACACAAGACAGAUUUUCCCUGACAUCCAGACAGUUGAUGCUAGGUCUGUAGAUGGUAAGACCUCAUGGCUGGCUCCUUGACAGUGCCAUCUGUCAUUGCUUUUUGUUCACAUUCUGUUUUUCAAGAAAUGUGACUUUCUUCUGUCUCCUUUCUGU
rnacentral:lncRNA from 1 species